AGCAGGGCACGUGUUCCAAGUGCCCGAGCGAGAAGAAAAAAAAACUAUACAUGGCUUGCACCUACGUCACUUGACGUCACUGCUCGGAGCGAGUCGGCCAUAUUGGUGAACAGCGGUUAGACCUUGUUCAGCGCUGCUUUGCCGCACCGGCGAGUUCCUCCUUCCAUUAUUGUUGUUUGCACAGUUGUAGGCUGCUUUAAUCGUAGCGACAGCUGCGGAAGAUAGAAGCAGCCUACUAGUAUGACCUUCUUUCGAAUACCAAAGGUUAUUGAAGGCCAGUGCGAGCGUACGAAAAUGCUCAGCGCCAACCGUCGGAGGACCUGGCUGGCGCACAUAAGGCGUGCAAAUUUCAACCAAGAAAA
rnacentral:lncRNA from 1 species